rnacentral:rRNA from 1 species
GUGCCAGCAGCCGCGGUAAUACGGAGGGUGCGAGCGUUGUCCGGAAUCACUGGGCGUAAAGGGCGCGUAGGCGGCGCGAGCAGUCGGCGGUGAAAGCCCGGAGCUCAACUCCGGGUCGGCCGUCGAUACUCUCGUGCUUGAGCACUGUAGAGGCAGGUGGAAUUCCGGGUGUAGCGGUGGAAUGCGUAGAGAUCCGGAAGAACACCGGUGGCGAAGGCGGCCUGCUGGGCAGUAGCUGACGCUGAUGCGCGACAGCGUGGGGAGCAAACAGGAUUAGAAACCCCAGUAGUCC